rnacentral:ncRNA from 1 species
AUCAACGCAUUGAGAUGGAAAGUACAGAUGGAAUGUUAUCUAACAGAGAGCUUGGGCAGCUGAAAACAAGCGAUAAUAGAAAUCUGGAAAAUGGCCAUUGAGCAGCGCUUCGAGUGACUUUGUUCAUAAGACAGCGACGGGAGCACCCGUUAUCGUGCUAGAGUAUAAUCAAUUUUUUGACGUACUUGAUGAGGGUAUCUAUGUGAAUAGAUACUAAAUAGAGGUGGUAGCACGCAAAAGCGUCCUCAAA